rnacentral:rRNA from 1 species
UACGAGGGGGCAAGCGUUGUUCGGAAUUAUUGGGCGUAAAGGGCGCGUAGGCGGUCUGACAAGUCUUGUGUGAAAUCUCUGGGCUCAACCCAGAGUCUGCACAGGAAACUGUCGGGCUAGAGUAUGGGAGAGGUGCGUGGAAUUUCCGGUGUAGCGGUGAAAUGCGUAGAUAUCGGAAGGAACACCUGUGGCGAAAGCGGCGCACUGGACCAAACUGACGCUGAGGCGCGAAAGCUAGGGGAGCAAACAGG